AUGCUCUAGUUUGUCUUCAAAUUAUUUAAGUCUUUUGCCUUUUACUAAAGGUUUCUGUGGAGAGGAAAGUUCAUGAAUUUCUACCCAAUUUUUUGAGGUUUUAUUUUGGUGAGGCU